GACCGCGUAGCUCAGUUGGUAGAGCAUUGGGCUAGUUUUCCAAAGGUCGUAUAGGUUCAAUUCCCACCGUGGUCA